UACGGGGGGUGCAAGCGUUGCUCGGAAUCACUGGGCGUAAAGCGUCCGCAGGCGGACCAUUAAGUCGGUCGUGAAAGCCCGGGGCUCAACCCCGGAACUGCGAUCGAAACUGGUGGUCUUGAGUUCGGGAGAGGGAGGUGGAAUUCCAGGUGUAGAGGUGAAAUUCGUAGAUAUCUGGAGGAACACCGGUGGCGAAAGCGGCCUCCUGGCCCGAUACUGACGCUCAUGGACGAAAGCGUGGGGAGCAAACAGG
rnacentral:rRNA from 1 species